rnacentral:rRNA from 1 species
GCUAACUUCGUGCCAGCAGCCGCGGUAAUACGAAGGGGGCUAGCGUUGUUCGGAAUCACUGGGCGUAAAGCGCACGUAGGCGGAUCUUUAAGUCAGGGGUGAAAUCCCGGGGCUCAACCUCGGAACUGCCUUUGAUACUGGGGAUCUCGAGUCCGGGAGAGGUGAGUGGAAUUGCGAGUGUAGAGGUGAAAUUCGUAGAUAUUCGCAAGAACACCAGUGGCGAAGGCGGCUCACUGGCCCGGUACUGACGCUGAGGUGCGAAAGCGUGGGGAGCAAACAGGAUUAGAUACCCGAGUAGUC